GGGCAACUUGCCUUCUCUUAUUUAAAUAGUAACCAUUCCAAGUCAUUGCAGUGGAGAAAAUAUUAGGUUGAGAAUCUAGACAGAAACAGAGAUUGUAGUUAGAACUACAAUAUGGCAUGGUAAAGCCAUUGUUUGUAAAGUCAAUGAGAAGGAAGCAAAGCUAGUAGCAGAAGUCAACUGAUAAAAUAUUAGAGGCAGGUAUUUCACAGUAAGGACCAAGAGUAAAGAAAUGUACAUCACAGCAUGAAAGAGCCCGUGUGGGAUCAGAUCAUAUCAUAGUUGGACACAUAGAGGAAAAUCCAGUCCUAACCAGAAUGCAGGUUAUUCUGUUGGCUACACUGAACAAGAUUUGUCAUCAUUUUAAUCAAUGAAAAAUACCAGAGAUGGACAUCAGAGGGCAUGACCUAUGCUUAGUUUCUAUCUUAUGCCUGUUUCAGGUUUGAGGGUAUCCUGCUAAUGUCUGUGGCAGAAUUUUUCAACAUUUCUUCAGCUGCCUUCUCUUUGCAUAAACUUUAAACUCAUUACCUUAGAGAAGAAAAUGAUAACUCACUCCACUAUUCUUGCCUGGAAAAUCCCAUGGGCAGAGGAGCCUGAUGGGCUACAGUCCAUGGGGUCUCAAAGAGUCAAACAGGACAGACUGUGCCUGCGAACACAUGCACACACACAUACAUACAAUUGUAUUAAAAAGUUACUUCUCCAGAAUAAUUUUGCUUACGAAAGUCAAGUCCUAUCAUUAUAGACCAAUGUGCUCCAGAUGAAAAUGUCUCCAGUUUUGGUUCAGUUUUAUUCUGGUUUCUGAGAACUACAUGAAGAGCAGAACAUUUCACAGUAAUCCUCUUGAACCACUAAGUCCUGUUUCAAACUCUUUUCUAGGGCCUGCACAAAAGUAGUCAUGACAUUCAUCCACCCUCCUCCAGUGAGCUGGAGAGAAAAAGGCAUAUUCCAUCCCUAUACCCUGAGCAGUACCAUGACUUCAGGGCCAGACAUGGACUCCAGAGAGCUUUCUACUUAUACUAAAAACACACCAACUCUUAGUUCUAAAAAAUCAGGUGUUCCAUACUCCAAAGAGUUAAAACGGAUCAGUAAAUCAGUGGAGGGUAAGUGAACUGUUAAAUCACAAAUUUUUAUUGUUAUAGUAGUGCUCCAGCCUAUAUAAAUUUGAUUGUUUAUAGCAAAUGAUUCCCGUAUACUACACUUAAAAUAUUCCUUCUGAUUGGAAGUAUAAUCAAGCACAUAGAUGAUAUCAAUAAUUCUUUAAGUAUAAUUGAAUAUUUAAGCUUCAAAAGACAUGUAAACAGGGAAAAUAAAUGUAUAGAAAAAGAAAUUUAAUUGGUAAGCAUUUUAAUUGAUGUUUUCUAAUGAAAUAUAAAAGUAUUAUGUAUUUAACAAUGUAAUAAUUUUGGUGAAAUUCUUUGGUGAGGGUGUGGUAAAAUAGAUAUAAAUGGGGUUAAGACUGUGGACUUUUAUCAUUCCCACACAAUUAAUAUGGCUGUGCCGAUCCACAGUAUACUCCGUUAGCCAAUAAUGCUGCUUUUAUAAAGCUCCUUAAGGAAAAUGCACAGUUAGCAAAUUUGUUCAUUGUAGAAUUAUGUAUUAGUUGUAGAUUGAUAGAAGUAAAUAAAAACAACUAAUGCAAGGGAUUAGGGUAAAUUAACUGUAAUAAUAUACAGUUCUUUAAAAUUUUGUCAAAACACAUUUGUUUUGUUUUUUAUUGAGGCAUAGUUGGUGUACAGAACACAUAGAAUGCUAAAUAGAUCCCGUGUGUGUGUGUGUGUCUGUGUGAGAGACAGAAAGAGAAAGGAGAGAGGGGGGGAAAAGGAAUUUAAAACACAAAUACACAAGAGAAAAAUAGGCAACCAUGAUGGUGAGAUUAAGGGUAAUUUUUAUUUUCCUGUUUACAUUUUGUUUAGCUUUUAAAUUCUUUUGCAGUGCAUGCAUCAGUUUUGUGGUCCAAAACAGCGUUGCUUUAAAAACUACAUUGAAUGAGUAUUCCAACUUCUGAACUGCUGGUUUUGAGGAAAAACAGAUUUUGCAGUCCACUGGCAGCAUGUUUGUGGUGUCCUUUCUUUUCUCCUGUUCCCCCAGCCUAUAGACAGCAGCUUGACUGAGAGACCUACAGGCUGAUGUGUAUCUCUCUCUUUCACUCACACACGCAGGCGUGUACACACACACACACAUACACACACAUGAUCAAAGGAUAUUCUAGUGUGUCCCUUGAGAGGGUACUUUCUUUCCUUUAUCCUGAAUAAUUUAAAUGGAGCUGAAGAAAGCUAUUCUUUUCCAUGCUGCUAAGUCACUUCAGUCGUCUCCGACUCUGUGUGACCCCAUAGACAGCAGCCCACCAGGCUCCCCCGUCCCUGGGAUUCUCCAGGCAAGCACACUGGAGUGGGUUGCCAUUUCCUUCUCCAAUGCAUGAAAGUGACAAGUGAAAGUGAAGUCGCUCAGUCGUGUCCGACCCUCAGAGACCCCAUGGAUUGCAGCCCACCAGGUUCCUCUGUCCAUGGGAUUUUCCAGGCAGGAGUACUGGAGUGGGGAUUCUUUUCCAUGAGCUGAUAUUAAAAGGUUGAGCAAACCAUGCAAUGAGUUACUUUCAUCUAUCGAUAUUAUCAUGACUAAAUAUCCUCUCUUACAUUAUUCAUUCGUUCAACAAAUAAUUUUGAGUGCCUAUUAGACUCUCAGGUAGUCACUUUUAUGGAGAUUAAAAUGUAUUCAUUUAUUCAUCUGUUUAGUCAGUCAGUAAACAGUAUUUCCUACAGUCCUUACCAGUGUGUGGCAGCUGCUAUUGCUAGACACUGCAAAUACUGUAGUGAACUAGAUAGAUAUGAGCCUACCCUCAAGGACCUCAUGGUCUGGUAGGAGAGAGAAAAAAUUCAACCAAUAAAUAAAAAUAAGUUCAGUUUGCAGAAUUGCCUUGUAAAAAUGCCCAGUGUUGCAGUAAGAUCGGCAUUGGUCCUCCCCAGUGAGGUGGUCCUGGAAGGCCUCUCUGAGCAGAGGACCUGGGUGUGACUUGGAAAGUGAUAGGAAAGUGAUCUGGGGUGAGCUGAGUUCCAGGGAGGUAGGGAAAGCACAUCCCAACCUGAGACAGGAAAGGAGCUUAUAGGUAGGGAAGCCCUAGAGGUAGGGAAAGUCUGCAAUGGGAUGGUCCUUGGCAGGCUCCAGGGAGGAGAGGGCAGCCUUUUGCCAGGGUGAUGAGUUUGGCUGGAUCCAACACAGAGUUUGAGUACAAAUUUGAGUUUUAAUGAGCAGACUAGUCAAGAGGUACAAUUAAGGUAUAAAUCAGAGAUUAACAAGCUCUUCCUAUAAAGGGCCAAAGAUUUUUUACGUUCUGGCCCUGCAGGGCUUUAGAGUCUCAACUCUGCCUUUGUUAAGGAAGACACUCAGAGGCAAUACGUAGAAGAAUGGGGUCUUCACUCAAAGAACCAGGCUUAGACAGAUUUGGCUCAGGAGGUGUAGUUUGCCAACCCUGGACAUAAACAGAAAAGUUGUACAACUCCUCAGUCAUGCUACUGGACGUCAGGGAAGGAGAAGAUGACUUCCUAUGGUGAAAUCAGAGGUGGGUCUUGAAAGAUAAGGAUAGAUCAAAAAUGAAAUGAUGGGGGGAAAGAAAAUAUAGGCAAAGGAAUCAGUAGGGUACAGUCCAGACUCAGUAAAGUCCAGAGCUCACAGGGAGGUAAUUAGUAUCUGCCCAGGGAGUGGUGAGGAAGUGCAGCUCUUUUAUUCCUCAGAUAUUUCAAGGACCUGUGAAGUAGCAGACACUGCACUGGACAGUGGGGGACGGGGAUAAGGAGUGAAUAAGGAAUGAACCUAUAAUCUCAGAUACUAGAGGGGUUGACAGAUAAGGAAGCAAGUCAUCCCAUGAUUAACUCAGUGUGGGGAAAUAAGGCUUCUUAAUAAGGAUGAGUCAAGAAAUUAACUUUCUUUCCUUCAUUGUAGCUGUUUUCUUUGGUGCUUGAUUAAGUCAAUGUGCUCACAUGCUAGAAAAUUACAAAGAUACCAGGGGAUAUACAGUGAAAAUUUUCUCUCCCAACCUCUAUCCCUUAAGCCUACUGAAUACCCACCCCACCACCUGCCCCCCAGCACAACCAGUGUCACUGAUUGCUUCUGGAUCCUUCUAAAGUUCAUCUAUGCAGAUCUAAAGAAAUGAGUAUGUUUGAGGUUCUUUGUUUUUCCUCUUGAUUACACUGAUAAUCUAGCUGAAUCUUUUAAGUAUAAAUUUUCCACAGAGGAGAAGGACAAUGGAGGUUAAAAGAAAGCAUGUGUCUUAAAGAUGGAUGGAGGAAAAG
rnacentral:lncRNA from 1 species